AUUUGUAAAAAGUGAGACAAAAUAUUUUGUGUUGUGCUUGGUGCGAUAGCCAAAGAAAAUAACUUUUAGCGACAAGCAUACAGAGAAAGAAACUUAGAGCACUUGGAGAACGAUGUCAGACAAAAGAGGAUUCAUGUUUUUCUAUUCUUUCUUGUUUUUAUUUUGUAUUUUAGACUUUUAUUCUUUUUGUAAUUUUUAAGAGUAACUUUUAUACAGUGUUGUGUUAUCAUUAGUUUUCUUCAUUUAAUUUUUAAUAAUUUAUAGUCUUUUUUAA
rnacentral:lncRNA from 1 species